GUACACUCCUGCGGGAGGCAGCAGUGGGGAAUUUUGGACAAUGGGCGAAAGCCUGAUCCAGCCAUGCCGCGUGCAGGAUGAAGGCCUUCGGGUUGUAAACUGCUUUUGUACGGAACGAAACGGCCUUUUCUAAUAAAGAGGGCUAAUGACGGUACCGUAAGAAUAAGCACCGGCUAACUACGUGCCAGCAGCCGCGGUAAUACGUAGGGUGCAAGCGUUAAUCGGAAUUACUGGGCGUAAAGCGUGCGCAGGCUGUUAUGUAAGACAGGUGUGAAAUCCCCGGGCUCAACCUGGGAAGUGCAUCUGUGGCUGCAUAGCUAGAGUACGGUAGAGGGGGAUGGAAUUCCGCGUGUAGCAGUGAAAUGCGUAGAUAUGCGGAGGAACACCGAUGGCGAAGGCAAUCCCCUGGACCUGUACUGACGCUCAUGCACGAAAGCGUGGGGAGCAAACAGGAUUAGAUACCCCAGUAGUCCCA
rnacentral:rRNA from 1 species